CGCCUGUUCCUGUUCCCUUUCUGCCUUCUCCAAGCUGCCUGACCUCAUGACGGUUGAGUUAUCUGUGGUACUUUGUUGUAAAUUGGAGUUAACUGGUGGGACCUGGCUGCUGCUCCCACAGUCCUCUCUGGAAGGCUCAAGCAGGAUCCGGGAGACUUGUUAGGCACAAGAAAGAAACCGGGCACUCGUCUCAUCAGACGCUGAAGACUAGGAUGGCCACUUGUGGGUCAUGCUUCUGGUGCAUCGUGUGGCUGCUGGUCCUGCUGAUCAUUGGCUGGCCCAUCAGCAUCACCUUGGGGGGUCUCUAUGGCCUAAUUAGCCCCCUCACUACCUGCCUGGGGUUGGACCGCCUCUCUGAUUUACUGCUGGAGGGAGCCAACGUGGGCCGGACCUGUGCCAACAAUAUGAGACACGCCAAGCCUUUGUGUUGAGAAAUCAACACUUGAUCACACGGAUCACAGCCGACGUUGUUGCCUUCACCUGAAGAGAGAGCUCCCCUUUCAGAACUGUUAAUGUCUGUUUUUUUAAUACACUGAAAGUUUCAAAAGGUCUGGAAAAUGGUUUCCACUUCAGCUGUUAACACAAGUAUUAACCUCAGAUUUAUGGUUUGUUUGGGUUUUUCAGGAAGAAAAUAGGCUUUGGGUUCACGGUCUGAGCUUGCUGUUUAAUUCAUGAUGACACUGCGUACAGAAGAUAAGAAGGAAAAGAGCAUUUUUAAUAAUGGACAUAUUUUGACUUUUAAAUGACUAUGGAAAGUUAUAAUGCGAUUAAACAUGCUUUUGAACUUGC